rfam:Scytonema tolypothrichoides VB-61278 scaffold_3, whole genome shotgun sequence.
GAGAGCCGUGUACCUGGAAACUCGUAAGCACGGUUCGGAGGGGGCUAGUUAGAAAAGGAGCAUUAUGUUACCUCGCUAGCUAGCUACCCACU